UACAGGGGGGGCAAGCGUUGUUCGGAAUUACUGGGCGUAAAGGGCCAGUAGGCGGCCAACUAAGUCACACGUGAAAUCCCCAGGCUUAACCUGGGAACUGCGUGUGAUACUGGAUGGCUUGAAUUCGGGAGAGGUAAGCGGAAUUCCUGGUGUAGCGGUGAAAUGCGUAGAUAUCAGGAGGAACACCUGCGGUGUAGACGGCUUACUGGACGGUAACUGACGCUGAGGCACGAAAGCGUGGGUAGCAAACAGG
rnacentral:rRNA from 1 species